CAGUAGCCGCGGGAAUACGUAGGUGGCAAGCGUUGUCCGGAAUUAUUGGGCGUAAAGGGAGCGCAGGCGGUUUAGUAAGUCUGAAGUUAAAGGCAUUGGCUCAACCAAUGUAUGCUUUGGAAACUGUUAGACUUGAGUGCAGUAGGGGAGAGUGGAAUUCCAUGUGUAGCGGUGAAACGCGUAGAUAUCGGAAGGAACACCUGUGGCGAAAGCGGCUCACUGGACCAUAACUGACGCUGAUGCACGAAAGCUAGGGGAGCAAACAGGAUCAGAUACCCGGGUAGUCCCUGUCUCUUAUACA
rnacentral:rRNA from 1 species